GACGAACGCUGGCGGCGUGCUUAACACAUGCAAGUCGAACGGAAAGGCCCUGCUUGCAGGGUACUCGAGUGGCGAACGGGUGAGUAACACGUGGGUGAUCUGCCCUGCACUUCGGGAUAAGCCUGGGAAACUGGGUCUAAUACCGGAUAGGAGCCAUUUUUAGUGUGAUGGUUGGAAAGUUUUUUCGGUGUAGGAUGAGCUCGCGGCCUAUCAGCUUGUUGGUGGGGUAAUGGCCUACCAAGGCGGCGACGGGUAGCCGGCCUGAGAGGGUGGACGGCCACAUUGGGACUGAGAUACGGCCCAGACUCCUACGGGAGGCAGCAGUGGGUAAUAUUGCACAAUGGGCGCAAGCCUGAUGCAGCGACGCCGCGUGGGGGAUGACGGCCUUCGGGUUGUAAACUCCUCUCGCUAGGGACGAAGCUUUUUGUGACGGUACCUAGAUAAGAAGCACCGGCUAACUACGUG
rnacentral:rRNA from 1 species